GCAAACUUGGUCAUUUAGAGGAAGUAAAAGUCGUAACAAGGUUUCCGUAGGUGAACCUGCGGAAGGAUCAUUAAUGAAGCAUGUCGUGAAGGGCUGUUGCUGGGUCCUCCCUCUCCAUCACAGGAAAGGGAAGGGGCAUGUGCACGCCUGGAACGUUCAUCCAUAUCUCAUCCCCUGUGCACACCUGUGGGCAAUUUGGGUUUUUCUCACCCUUAUGCUUGCCCACCUCUUUUUCAUUCACUCUCAUACAGUCACUUGGAAUGUCUACUGUCAUAGGAAAUAAAACAACUUUCAGCAACGGAUCUCUUGGCUCUCGCAUCGAUGAAGAACGCAGC
rnacentral:misc_RNA from 1 species